CAAAAACAACACUUGUUCCGCAUUGGACAUUGGCCUAGCCUCAAGACAUCUACGGGCCUCUUUGACCCAUUGAUCAAUAAUCAAUCGGACAGUUUACAACCACAAUGGAGGAGGAAGUCGAUGAUGAAACCUGCUGCUGCCUCCCGGAGUACAUUUAAGGGAACUUCUGAAGGACAUAACGGACGAACUCUGGAGAACCAUCGGCAAAGUCUCUGCUUGUUGAGGUCUUGAGAGAUAAUUCACAGAGACAUCAAGCUCAAAGCUCAUCUCGUCUAAGCCAUCCUGGGACGACUCCUCCAGCGACGUGUCCAAUCCGGUCCAAUCUUCUUGAUCCUCCAUGCAGCUGGCUAGAUCGCCGGUGUUUCCUGCUGCUACAUCUUCCCUCAGUUCGUCCACGUAUGUUGGUGUGGGGGACGCCCUCAUGAUCGACCCCCGUGUGCGGGUUCCCACAGCACCAGCUUGCUGGCUGGGAGCUCCCGGGGUCUUUGGCGAUGAGCGGCCAGCCUCCUUCUUCUGGAUGCCACCUUCUCCCUGGUUCUCGCAACCCUCGGGUAUGGUCAAAUCAUGGGCGGCCUGCACAUGCGCCAGUGUGUCAAGAGACACUGCGGUGCCUUUUUCACCCGCCGCUGGUCCAACCAAUCAUGGGCCAGGGAUUGUGCGAAGCCUUGAGCACGUUCUGCCAUGCCAUUUGACCCUUGACUUUCUUGGAGCGGGUGAUACAAAGAAAAAAAAAUGCAAUGCAUCGUGGUUGUAAACUGUCCGGAAGAUCUUUCAUGCCAAAGGCCAGGAGGUUUCUUAUUUAUUAUUGUGGCUUCAAUCAUUCAAUGAUCUGCUUUUUUUUUAUGUCACCCCUUGAUGGCACUAUUGCGUUGUUUGGAAUAUUUCUAGAUUUUUAGCACUACAUUCAUGGCCAUAAAGUCGACACAGUUGUCAUUCAAACCGGGUUUUUUAAGUUUAAGUUAAGAUGCUCGGUUGCAAAUGUGUCAAUGUCUGCUUUCAUUUAUCUUUUUCUUUUUUUUAUAGUUGCGCCAUCAAUGAUCAUGUAGAUGAUCGAUGUCCUUGUUCAAACAUUCUCUACUACUGUAUCAGAAACUGCGGAUAUGUGUCACUCACUGUUACUGAUUGGGCCACUCUUAAUUGUUAUCUUUAAUUCUCAUUUUAACAGUGUGGCUACUUUUCUAUUCUGCUAAAGGUUAGCCCUGAAGACAACUGUACAGACUCCUCACUUGAUCUUCCAUUGAACAAACUGUAG
ensembl:lncRNA